UCAAUUUCAUCUAUUCAUUACAGGGAGCAAAAAUGUGGCUAAACCUUCUGUCCAUACUUGUAGUCCUCAAAGGAGUCCAAUCUCAGGUCCAAUUGGUGGAGUCUGGAGGGGAUGAGAGAAGACCUGGGGAGUCCCUCCGUCUCUCCUGCCAAGCCUCUGGAUUCACCUUCAGCAGCUUCUACAUGCACUGGGUGAGGCAGGCUCCAGGGAAAGGACUGGAAUGGGUGUCAUGGAUAAGCGAUGGUUCUGGUACUAUUAGAUACUCAGACAAAGUCAAGGGCCGUUUCACCAUCUCCAGGGACGAUGCCAAAAGCCAGCUGUAUCUGCAAAUGAACAGCCUCAAAACUGAAGACACAGGAGUCUAUUACUGUGCAAGAGACACUGUGAGA